CCCUAGUAACUGCGAGUGAAGCGGGAAAAGCUCAAAUUUUAAAUCUGACGGUCGUUCUGGUCGUCCGAGUUGUAAUCUAGAGAAGCGUCUUCCGCGCUGGACCGUGUACAAGUCUCCUGGAAGGGAGCGUCAUAGAGGGUGAGAAUCCCGUCUUUGACACGGACUACCAGUGCUAUGUGAUGCGCUCUCGACGAGUCGAGUUGUUUGGGAAUGCAGCUCAAAAUGGGUGGUAAAUUCCAUCUAAAGCUAAAUACAGGCGAGAGACCGAUAGCGAACAAGUACCGUGAGGGAAAGAUGAAAAGAACUUUGGAAAGAGAGUUAAACAGUACGUGAAAUUGCUGAAGGGAAACGCUUGAUGUCAGUCUCGUCCGCCAGGGAUCAACCUUGCAUUAUUU
rnacentral:rRNA from 1 species